rfam:TPA: Bos taurus chromosome 7, whole genome shotgun sequence.
UCCCUGGUGGUCCAGUGGUCAGGACUCUGAGCUUUCACUGCUGAGGACGCUGGUUCAAUCCCUGGUCAGGGAA